rnacentral:rRNA from 1 species
GAUCCUGGCUCAGAACGAACGCUGGCGGCGUGGAUAAGACAUGCAAGUCGAACGAGAGAAUUGCUAGCUUGCUAAUAAUUCUCUAGUGGCGCACGGGUGAGUAACACGUGAGUAACCUGCCCCCGAGAGCGGGAUAGCCCUGGGAAACUGGGAUUAAUACCGCAUAGUAUCGAAAGAUUAAAGCAGCAAUGCGCUUGGGGAUGGGCUCGCGGCCUAUUAGUUAGUUGGUGAGGUAACGGCUCACCAAGGCGAUGACGGGUAGCCGGUCUGAGAGGAUGUCCGGCCACACUGGAACUGAGACACGGUCCAGACACCUACGGGUGGCAGCAGUCGAGAAUCAUUCACAAUGGGGGAAACCCUGAUGGUGCGACGCCGCGUGGGGGAAUGAAGGUCUUCGGAUUGUAAACCCCCGUCAUGUGGGAGCAAAUUAAAAAGAUAGUACCACAAGAGGAAGAGACGGCUAACUCUGUGCCAGCAGCCGCGGUAAUACAGAGGUCUCAAGCGUUGUUCGGAAUCACUGGGCGUAAAGCGUGCGU